rnacentral:rRNA from 1 species
ACAAGCGGUGGAGUAUGUGGUUUAAUUCGAUGCGACGCGAAGAACCUUACCUGGUCUUGACAUCCCGGAGACCCUUAGGAAACUAGGGGGUGCUUCCAUCUGGAAGAAUCUGGAGACAGGUGCUGCAUGGCUGUCGUCAGCUCGUGUCGUGAGAUGUUGGGUUAAGUCCCGCAACGAGCGCAACCCUUGCCUUUAGUUGCCAGCAGUUCGGCUGGGCACUCUAAAAGGACUGCCGGUGUUAAACCGGAGGAAGGUGGGGAUGACGUCAAGUCCUCAUGGCCUUUAUGACCAGGGCUAUACACGUACUACAAUGGCCGAUACAAAGGGCAGCGACACUGCGAGGUGAAGCCAAUCCCGUAAAAUCGGUCUCAGUCCGGAUUGGAGUCUGCAACUCGACUCCAUGAAGUUGGAAUCGCUAGUAAUCGUGGAUCAGCAUGCCACGGUGAAUACGUUCCCGGGCCUU